rnacentral:rRNA from 1 species
AUUGAACGCUGGCGGCAGGCCUAACACAUGCAAGUCGAGCGGAUGAGUGGAGCUUGCUCCAUGAUUCAGCGGCGGACGGGUGAGUAAUGCCUAGGAAUCUGCCUGGUAGUGGGGGACAACGUUUCGAAAGGAACGCUAAUACCGCAUACGUCCUACGGGAGAAAGUGGGGGAUCUUCGGACCUCACGCUAUCAGAUGAGCCUAGGUCGGAUUAGCUAGUUGGUGAGGUAAAGGCUCAACAAGGCGACGAUCCGUAACUGGUCUGAGAGGAUGAUCAGUCACACUGGAACUGAGACACGGUCCAGACUCCUACGGGAGGCAGCAGUGGGGAAUAUUGGACAAUGGGCGAAAGCCUGAUCCAGCCAUGCCGCGUGUGUGAAGAAGGUCUUCGGAUUGUAAAGCACUUUAAGUUGGGAGGAAGGGCAGUAAGUUAAUACCUUGCUGUUUUGACGUUACCAACAGAAUAAGCACCGGCUAACUUCGUGCCAGCAGCCGCGGUAAUAC